rnacentral:tRNA from 1 species
AGCAGCGCGAGGAGCUGGCGGCGCACCUGGGCGCUGAUGGUGUCCACGGUGAUGCCCGCGCUGACCAGCGCGGUGAUCCGGCCGCCGGCGCGGUUG